UACGUAGGGCGCAAGCGUUAUCCGGAAUUAUUGGGCGUAAAGAGCUCGUAGGCGGUUUGUCGCGUCUGCUGUGAAAACCCGAGGCUCAACCUCGGGCCUGCAGUGGGUACGGGGCAGACUAGAGUGCGGGUAGGGGAGAUUGGAAUUCCUGGGUGUAGCGGUGGAAUGCGCAGAUAUCAGGAGGAACACCAAUGGCGAAGGCAGAUCUCUGGGCCGUAACUGACGCUGAGGAGCGAAAGCAUGGGAGCGAACAGG
rnacentral:rRNA from 1 species